ACUACGUUAAUCCAAUAUUAGCUUUACUAUACACACACAGCAGAGAGAGAGAGAGAGGUGAAUGUGCACUUUUUAAUAAAUACAUAGUCGAAUCUCGUCUCACCUUACCUUUGUAUAAAUAGCGUCAGCCCUCGUCUUGAAAACUUACCCAAUUGAAAAUGAAGAUAUCAGGCUCCCUUCUGCUGAUCAUGCUUUUGCUUCAUGCUUCUUCAGGUUCACCUCUUCCCCUAUUAGCCCAGCAGCUAGUAAAAUCUCUGUUUUUGGAUUUCAUCUCUAUAUUCUCCUUUUUUACUGUGUUUUAGCAGCAACUUAGUAAAUUUCUUUUAUGUUUGGAAAACAUAUUAAUCAUGGGUGGUUGCAUUGCAAGAUUUAAUUUAAGAAGAAUAAAUAUCAGAAUAUAUAGAGUAAAUAUAUACUCCAUUACAGUUUCUAUAUCUCCAUUACAGAGUAAAUUUGUGGCAGUAAAAAACAUUUUUCUUGGUAUAGCAGUAAAAAGAUGAAGCCUUUGAACUGAUUCCUGCUUCCCUAUAUAUAUCAAACACCUUGCCCCUUCUACUUGUCAAAGCUUUCUUUCCUUCAUUACUAGCCGUAAAAGAUGAUAUAUAUAUAUGGAGUGCACAAGAGUUCAUUAGCUUAACUAUUGCUGCUUAAUAUAUCAUCUUUAUGCUUUAUCUGAGAUUGCUAGCUAGUUGAUACAUCAUAUAUAACCCGAUCGAGAGCCGAAGUGGGUUGUAGGUGGCAUACAAAUUUUAAGAUCAUCUUUACAUGCACUUGCAGUUGAGUAGGAAAAAAUUCAUAUGCAUGUUUUUGUUUUUAACUCUACUUUAAUUUCUCUCUCUCUCUCUCUCUCUAUAUAUAUAUAUAUAUAUAUAUGAAUUAGUCACAGCAUCAAAAUUACUUGAUGAUCCUAAUAAGGCGAUUAGGCUCCCGGAGCACACUUGCAGUAAGACAUUGAUGAUCAGCUCAAGCAGAUGUGAGUUGAAGAAAUGCAUUCAUAGAUGUUCUAACGAGCCGUAUGGCAAGGGAAAGUGCAGAGGCAACCUUUGCAUAUGCACAUAUUUCUGUAAACAACCCCCAUAGUAAAUACAAUACAACACACUUCCCCUUUCCUUUGUUUACGACUUAAUAAUUCAACUGUACACUAAUGUAUUUAAGGAUAUAAUAAUAUUACUUAUUGCUGAUUUAGAUGAUACAACUUGGAG
rnacentral:lncRNA from 1 species